UCGGGAACAUUGCGCAAUGGAGGAAACUCUGACGCAGUGACGCCGCGUAUAGGAAGAAGGUUUUCGGAUUGUAAACUAUUGUCGUUAGGGAAGAAAAAAGACAGUACCUAAGGAGGAAGCUCCGGCUAACUACGUGCCAGCAGCCGCGGUAAUACGUAGGGAGCAAGCGUUAUCCGGAUUUAUUGGGUGUAAAGGGUGCGUAGACGGGCGAUCAAGUUAGUUGUGAAAUCCCUCGGCUCAACUGAGGAACUGCAACUAAACUGGUUGUCUUGAGUGCAGGAGAGGUAAGUGGAAUUCCUAGUGUAGCGGUGAAAUGCGUAGAUAUUAGGAGGAACACCAGUGGCGAAGGCGACUUACUGGACUGUAACUGACGUUGAGGCACGAAAGUGUGGGGAGCAAACAGGAUUAGAUACCC
rnacentral:rRNA from 1 species